GGGACUGUAGCUCAGUCGGUUAGAGCACU
rnacentral:tRNA from 1 species